UGCAUAUACAGGCCUUUUAGGUCUCCUGUAUUGAUUCUUUAUAUCCACAUAUAAGCCCUAUAUGUACAUACAAGAUAUGUCUCCUGUAUAGCUCAUGGCAGGAUCUGGUCAUUUUAGCUCAUAUCUCACUUUGGAAAAAAAAAACUUAUGUGCGAACACGUGAAAUUGGUAUCACAUGUAAUUGGCAUGUUAUGGAAUUUAACUAUAGUUAUACACAUUUUAGAAUUUCUGUCGCACUUCAUUAUCUGCUAAUGACCCGAGGCAGGACACGCCCACACGCCAAUCACACGGAAAUCAGUCAGGCUAAUUUACAUACUAGGCCACGCCCCCUGACACCAGCAUGAAAAACACACACACAAAGACAGGCUUGAGUUUACACAAAGAUUCAGUUUUCUGCACGUUUGGAAGAUGACACGCGCUACUACACAUCCAAGGGAACUCUUCAGAAUGUUCUGGACAGUGGGAGGAGUUUACAUUUACCUCAGAAGAAGACUGUGUGGCUCUGACGACGAACAGGAGCAUUUUAAAGAGAGAAUAGAUCCAACAGGACACACUGGGUAAGUUAUUAAGUCUUAUAACUCUUAUUCUGAUAAUAUUAAACGAAUAUUAGUAAAUAUUUUCUUCACAUCAGCUAGCUCUUGUCAGCUUGUGUGACACAUUGGCUUUCAAUGCCAUUUACAUAGUUUAGGUAAAUCAUGCUAACAUGCUGUCUGUAGCACAUGAUAUUUCCCGGUGGCUAAGCUAAUGCCUUAUGGAGUUUACAGAUCUUUAUAAAUGUUCUAAUGUAUUUAACCUUGUUUUGGAUAGCUUUAGAUUAUGGUUGCUAAUAUGUAUUUGGCUCCGUUUUGGUUAGCUUAAAACACUGUUUCAUAUCUUUAUCAUUAAUCUGCAUUUAUACAUAAAAUCCUAUUAACUAUUGGGAAGCUAAGCAAGAAUCAGUAUGAAACAUGAAAAAGUUUUUAAAAUUAAAAUUAAUAUUGUGAUGUGAAAUUAUUUUUUAGAUUGAAAGGGCUCUGGGGUGUUUUGCCAGGCAGAAGCGUGGAGAGCAGCCCGUCUUGCCACCUCUGCUACUGCCAUGGUGCGAAAUCUGCUGCUGGGCACCUUCGACUCGGAGACUUUGCUGCAACCUGAAUGGUGGAAAGCCAACCAGAGGGGAUGGGGAGCAGCUGGUCGCGUUUAUUAGGCAUUGGAGACUGCAUAAGAUGCUACAUUGAAGAAGUGGCCGGCAGCCACCCGAGGGCAGACAGGCACAUCUAUCAAUUCAAAGCUCACGAAGCUGAGAAGGUCCUCAAAAUAUAUAUAUUUUUUC